AGUGAACGCUGGCGGUAGGCCUAACACAUGCAAGUCGAACGGCAGCACAGUAAGAGCUUGCUCUUACGGGUGGCGAGUGGCGGACGGGUGAGGAAUACAUCGGAAUCUACUUUUUCGUGGGGGAUAACGUAGGGAAACUUACGCUAAUACCGCAUACGACCUACGGGUGAAAGCAGGGGAUCUUCGGACCUUGCGCGAUUGAAUGAGCCGAUGUCGGAUUAGCUAGUUGGCGGGGUAAAGGCCCACCAAGGCGACGAUCCGUAGCUGGUCUGAGAGGAUGAUCAGCCACACUGGAACUGAGACACGGUCCAGACUCCUACGGGAGGCAGCAGUGGGGAAUAUUGGACAAAGGGCGCAAGCCUGAUCCAGCCAUACCGCGUGGGUGAAGAAGGCCUUCGGGUUGUAAAGCCCUUUUGUUGGGAAAGAAAAGAAGCAGGUUAAUACCCCGCUGUUCUGACGGUACCCAAAGAAUAAGCACCGGCUAACUUCGUG
rnacentral:rRNA from 1 species